AUACAUUUAAAAUUUUAUGAACAUAUGCAUUUGCCAUUAAUACAUGUAAAGCCCAACUUUCUCUUAACGAAAGUACAGUAAAUAAAACAAUAUUGAACACUUGAACAAUUCUCACUCCACCAAGCAUUAAUACCCUCUGACAUAUUACCGGUUAAAUCUUCCAAACUCCUCACUGCUUCCACCUUCUUUAUCUCCUCUCCCCACAAUAUACCUAAUAUUUUUGUAAGUAAACAACAAAUUUCAACACAAAAUUAAUUCUAACAAAACAAAGACUAACUUAAUUAUAAAUAUUUUUACUAUAUGUAUGGAAAAUAAAAGACUCACAUGAGGCGAGGAUAACUAGAAUCCCCACAAACACUACAUUAGAUUUCAUGGUUUUCAUUAUGCUCAAAUUAUUUGAUCCUAAGAUGCUUU
rnacentral:lncRNA from 1 species